rnacentral:hammerhead_ribozyme from 1 species
CUGCUGAGGAGUCCCACAAUAGGACGAAACGACCUUCACGCAG